CUGCUCUGCUGGUGUUUUGUGAGUGAGCCCAGGAUAGGGAGACAAUUACUGAGAAUCUUACGAAGAUUUUGACAGCUUCAUUUCUUAUCAGGAUUCUGACCCUGGCCAGUCUGAAUAUUUGCCUUAUUCCAGGUUACUAGCUUUUGUCUAAUGAAUUUGGGAAGAAAAAAAAAGAAAGAAGCUACUGAUACAGUUCUUUUUAAUCCGAUCUACUA